rnacentral:rRNA from 1 species
CCUACGGGAGGCAGCAGUAGGGAAUUUUGCGCAAUGGGCGCAAGCCUGACGCAGCAACGCCGCGUGUGGGAUGAAGGCCUUCGGGUCGUAAACCACUGUCGGAGGGGACGCGGUACCCUCAAAGGAAGCACCGGCUAACUCCGUGCCAGCAGCCGCGGUAAUACGGAGGGUGCAAGCGUUGUUCGGAAUUACUGGGCGUAAAGCGCGUGUAGGCGGCUUGGCAAGUUGGAUGUGAAAUCCCCGGGCUCAACCCGGGAACUGCAUCCAAAACUGCUUCGCUAGAGUCUCGGAGAGGAAGGCAGAAUUCCCAGUGUAGGGGUGAAAUCCGUAGAUACUGGGAGGAUACCGGCAGCGAAGGCGGCCUUCUGGACAUACUGACGCUGAGACGCGAAAGCGUGGGGAGCAAACAGGAUUAGAUACCCUUGUAGUC